AAAAAUAUAAUAUAAGCUCUGGCGGACUUGGUUCUUUGGUAGGUCUUAAAGGGUUAACAAAAAAAAAAAUCACCUAUGGCCACCUGUCACUUCGGAGGUCCUAGAACAGUGGUUCUUAACCUGCGUUCGAUCAAACCCUAGGGGGUCAGUGAGUCGGUCUCAGGGGUUCGGCAGAACCUCCGCUGUGACAUACACGGCCCAGUAAAAAAAUAUAUGUAUGUUUUGAAUUCGAAAAAAAUCGUAUUGCGUAUAUGAAACUGGUGUGGUUCAGUACCUCCAAAAAGGUUAAGAACCACUGUCCUAGAAGAAUUACUUUACAGUCUUGUGUAUUCUAAAUUAAAACAUAAAAUAAUUAGAACACCAUACAUUACAAAUUUUCACAAUGUUGCAAUACAAUUGCAAGAAAAUACCAGUUAGUAGAGACAAACCAGGCUUCUGUAGGAUAGUUCACUGAACUAAGCGUGAUUAUUAAACGUGGGCCUCACAGCCUAUAUGAUCAUGCCCAAACCUUGCGAUAAUAGCAGUGCAACAAAAAGAUGUUCUUUGUGUCACGAUAAACAUGUCUCCUACAUAAGAUAGAAUGCACCUACUGUACAUAAUAUUGUCCAAAGAAAUGUACAAGCAAGAACAUUUUAACUGCUCGAACCAACUAUUAACCUUCUUUAUACAUAAGCCAUUUCCGUGACUCUUAGGCAGUGAUAUGUAGGGCAGUCAGUGGCUUUUUCCCUUUUAGAUUGUUGUAGGCAACUGAUUACUUUCUAUCUGAGGUUUCACCUUGAAGCUUCAUAGGUAUUGUUGUCAAUGAGGAGCGUAGUAAUGUUUAUUUGCUCUGUUUCUUUUUGUCAGGGAUGUGUGUAUAUACUUUUUGUGUCCCAGCUGAGUAACAGGAGCAGAAGAGUAUGGUGGAGCAGCGGAAGGACAAUUUCAGCCAUUUGGACUCAGCUCAGCCACUACAGAGGAAACAAUGACUUCAACAGAAAAGGACCAACAUGAGGCGAAAAGUCAGCGCUCUCAGGAGGCCAACAAACCUCACAGAAGAAAAGGAGAAAAAACAUACAGCUGUGAUGAGUGUGGGAAGGAUUUUACCCGGGCUGGAGAAUUAAAAAGACACCAACUCUUCCAUAGUGGAGUUAAAGCGUACAGCUGUGACUUGUGUGGCAAGUCUUUUACCCUGGCUCAAAGCUUAAAGACACACAAACUCAUCCACAGUGGAGUGAAACCGUACAGCUGUGACUUGUGUGGAAAGUCUUUUACCCUGGCUCAAAACUUAAAAACACACCGACUCAUCCACAGUGGAGUUAAAGCAUAUAGCUGUGACUUGUGUGGAAAGUCUUUUACUCUGGCUGGAGGUCUAAAAAAACACAAAGUCAUCCACAGUGAAGUUAAACCUUACAGCUGUGACUUGUGUGGAAAGUCUUUUACUCAGGCU